GACAAGCCGUUUGCAGCACGGGCCAAACACAGUUCGCUGGGUGUGACCGCGCUUUGCUGCCAUACGUUAGCCAUCGCCAGGCGAACUGAUUUAGGGACAUCAUCAUUAGUGCCUCCAACCUGACGCCAGUCCCUAACUCACUUCCAGCUGAGCCGGUCAUAACAAUUGUUGUUAGUUGCAUGAACUCAAACAAUCAUCACGGCGUGUCCUGAAUCUACGUGUCCCUUUGCUCUCCACGUCGCUGUAUGAUUGAGAAAUGCCAAACUGAGCGCUUACAACACCGGUCUAAGCAGUUACCUCACUCCAGCGGUGCAAGUGGAAUGCGCACGUUAGCUGUCCACACACGCCAGAGACCCCCGUAUCGGCAAGGACAUGAUGUUACAAAGUAACAGCUUCUAAUACGAUUGUGAGCAUCCACUGGCUGCUGAGCGGCUUGUUGUCAUCUACAAUUGCUGCUACUGGAAAUGUGGCAUCCUCUUCGCUCCAGACCCCCCCCCCCCCCAUUGCAAGUGCAGCCCGUGCCCGAUAAAUAACGACAUUAUUUCUUCUGCUUCUGCUUGUGUAUUCUAAAUAUUCUGUGCCAAUCUUGUUGUCGCUUCGUACUGUCAAACUCAAAGACGUCAAGAUCUCUUUCAAUACUGCAUGCAUAAUCGUGCACCAUCUCUCUGGUGUAUUGGUCACGUUCAAUAUGGAGUAAGAAUGGCCUCGGACAUUAGUGGACAUUAAAGCGUAACUUGUAGUUCCAUGGUCCUUUUUCUUUUCAAUACGGAGUGUAACUUUUGCUUCUCGCUCCUCUUCCCAUUUUCAGCAUUCUUUGCUGUACUGUGCUUGAGCCUGUAUUUUCUGCUUUCUGCUCUGUUUUGCUCUGUGUCUUGCCUAGAAGUUAGGGUUAAAAUGCGCACGGAAGUGCUUUACAAUCUCCGCCAGCCGCGUGUUACAUAGCGACCAGUUAUCGUUUUCACACGUGCUCUCUCGACUGGUGUUUUCUCCAAAAUAUGGCUUCACUCCAUGUGAAAUUUCUUUGA